UCUAGUGGCGUACGGGUGAGUAACACGUGGGCAACCUGCCCUUGAGUCCGGGAUACCCUCUCGAAAGGGAGGCUAAUACUGGAUACGUUCCUCGGGUCGCGAGAUCUGGGGAGGAAAGGUGGCGAAAGCUGCCGCUCUUGGAGGGGCUCGCGGCCUAUCAGCUAGUUGGUGAGGUAACGGCUCACCAAGGCUAUGACGGGUAGCUGGUCUGAGAGGACGACCAGCCACACGGGAACUGAGACACGGUCCCGACUCCUACGGGAGGCAGCAGUGGGGAAUUUUCCGCAAUGGGCGAAAGCCUGACGGAGUGACGCCGCGUGGGGGACGAAGGCCUUCGGGUUGUAAACCCCUGUCAGAGGGAAAGAAGGGCGCUGACGUUAAUAGCGUCGGCGUCUGACGGUACCUUCAGAGGAAGCCCCGGCCAA
rnacentral:rRNA from 1 species